UGAGCGCUAAAAUAACACUGAAGCGCUGGCUAAAAGUGUUAAACUGGGUUAAUUGAGACUUCUUUAAAAGUGAAAAGAAAGGAAGUCUGCAGUGCUACAGGAUUACUGGGAUGAAGCCAAAUAUUCAGGCGCCUUGAGAAUUUUUUCAGACACCACAAGACAAAAUACUUUUAAUUUGAAAAAAAAAAGCCUUAAAUAGAAGGUUAACGUUGACUUAUUAGUGUUGAAAUGUCAUCUGAGCAUCACUCAGUCUUUGCAAAAUGUUUAUCAUAAAAAAAAUAAAUCUGCGAAGGUCAGUAAAAACGUUUCUUUUCUAAUUUUCAUUUCUAAGCAUUGAUUGUGUUUGGGGUCAUGGGUUAUAUGUGUUAAUGGAGGGGAGGGCAAAGGGUGGGUUUGGUUUUCAUUGUGUAGGUUUUUUUGUUUUUUAAAUGCAGGGUACACCCUGGAAAGGUCACCAGUCUGUCGCAGGAGAACUCAUCAAAGUCACUCUUAGAUUCCAUUGUAGAACAGAGAAACCUUUCCAAACAUUCCCAGAAGGCCGUUCAUGAUCGGCAACAUGGCAGAAAAGUGACGUUUACAUGAUUUCUACAAAGUUAUUUUGGAACGUUCUUUAUCAACUUUUCACAAACAAAACAUCCUCAGAAUUUUUGACAGAAAUGAAUAAAUGAAUUAAUAAAUAAAGCCAUUUUAUAUGCUGCUUUGGUUUCCUUUGUAAAGCAAAAACAAAAAAAAUAAA